AAGAAUCAUUAUACAAUGAUCAUGCCGACGGGUAAGAGGUAGGUUGCGCGGUUCGUCAAAUAUAUCUGAAAAUUCAGCAAGCAAAGGAAGUAGAUUUGGAUCUUCAAAUUUUGUUGGCUCUCCCUUAGUUUGUUGCUCAAGUUGUACCAAAAAGCCGCUGCAUGCUUUAUGCAAAACCUUCUCCAUUUGUUGUGUGCAAAUCGUCGUUACGUCGCCCUCACGUUUCCCGUGCAGUAUCACCUGUUUCUCCUUACUGUAAAAUUUUAUAAUUAGUUGCAUAAAAUUCCAAGAAAUAUCACCUAAUGUCAUCAACCAUUUAAUUCUGAGUAUGGCCUCAUGAUCAUUAAGAGGGAGGAGGAAGAAAUCUGUAAUUAUCUCUUGGUCCUGCAACAACAGUUUUACCUGCGGGCACCUAUGAUCACACUUCAAAAUCCGUCCGUUGGCAACCUUAACGACAAACCUGCUGUAAUUCUCAAUAGGUAGGUUCAUAUAGACAACAACCUUACUGUUUAGGAAGUUAUUAGUGCUGCCCGUGGCGAUGAGAACAGUGAUCGGUUGUUGUUUGAGAAGGCCUCCAACUUUCAUCGUUUGUGGGAUUGAGUAGCCAACUAGUGUAUGUACCGUAACUUUGGUCGGUUGUGGCUCUUCUUCUGCAUCUUCUUCUUCAUGUUCAAGGCUCUCUUUUGGAUGUUCAAUGACCUCUUCUUCAUUGCUUCUAUUUUGGAGGGAUCCACCAUCACACCUUUCUCUGAUAUGAUAUGCCCAAGAUAUUCCAUCUUUUGUUGAAGAAAGCAAAAAUUCAUAGUGGUCGUUGUGUGUUCGAAAGAUGAUUUUUGAUAUGCCUUUUUCACACACUCGUAUUUGAUGAUACUCGAAUCGAAGGUCCAGCUUUGUGAAGAUUUGUGCUCCCUUUCAUCUAGUAAUUCAUCUACUAAUAGAAUAGGGUAUUUAUCCUUGAUGGUUAUGCCAUUAAGAGCUCGGUAAUCAACGCAUAUUCGCCAUGUUGCGUCCUUCUUGCGUACAAGUAGCACCGGUGAAGAGUAGAGGCUGCAACUUGGCCGAAUAACUCCUAUUUCAAGCAUCUCUUUUACAAUUCUUUCUAUUUUAUCCUUCUGGAGAUGUAGAUACUGAUAUGGUUGAGUAUUUGCUGGAGGUUUUCUUGGAAGAAUCGUUAUAUAAUGAUCAUGCCGACGGGUAAGAGGUAGGUAGGUUGUGCGGUUCGUCAAAUAUAUCUGAAAAUUCAACAAGCAAAGGAAGUAGGUUUGGAUCUUCAAAUUCUAUUGACUCUCCCUUAGUUUGCUACUCAAGUUGUACCAGAAAGCCACUACAUGCUUUAUGCAAAACCUUCUCCAUUUGUUGUGUGCAAAUCGUCAUUACGUCGCCCCCACGUUUCCCGUGCAG
rnacentral:lncRNA from 1 species